GACGAACGCUGGCGGCGUGCUUAACACAUGCAAGUCGAACGGAAAGGCCCUGCUUUUGUGGGGUGCUCGAGUGGCGAACGGGUGAGUAACACGUGAGUAACCUGCCCUUGACUUUGGGAUAACUUCAGGAAACUGGGGCUAAUACCGGAUAGGAGCUCCUGCUGCAUGGUGGGGGUUGGAAAGUUUCGGCGGUUGGGGAUGGACUCGCGGCUUAUCAGCUUGUUGGUGGGGUAGUGGCUUACCAAGGCUUUGACGGGUAGCCGGCCUUGGAGGGUGAACGGCCACCUUGGGACUGAGAUACCGCCCAGACUCCUACGGGAGGCAGCAGUUGGGAAUAUUGCACAAUGGGCGGAAGCCUGAUGCAGGAACGCCGCGUGCGGGAUGACGGCCUUCGGGUUGUAAACCGCUUUCGCCUGUGACGAAGCGUGAGUGACGGUAAUGGGUAAAGAAGCACCGGCUAACUACGUG
rnacentral:rRNA from 1 species